GUUUUUGGUUAUUAUCUUGAAUAUUAUUAUAGAUAGAGAUAAACUGUAAACAGCAAUAAUGUUCAGCAAAGUAAGAUUUACAAAUAAGUCAACGUGACCAAAAUGGUCAGUUGACCCCUUUAGGAGUUAUUGCCCUUUAUAGUCAAUUUUUAACCAUUUUUCGUAAAUGUUAGUAAUCUUUUACAAAAAUCUUCUCCUCUGAAACUACUCACCCAAAUUAAUCCAAACUUGGCCACAAUCAUCUUUGGGGUAUCUAGUUUAAAAAAUGUGUCUGUUGACCUGGCCAUCCAACCAAGAUGGCCGCCAUGGC
rnacentral:lncRNA from 1 species